rnacentral:lncRNA from 1 species
AUGCCAGGUUCAACCUCCACUAUUCAGUCCUAUGCUGACAAGCCCCUGGAGUUAUAUGCCAGGUUCAACAUCCACGAUUCGGCCGAGGAGCUGACAAGCCCCUGGAGUUAUAUGCCAGGUUCAACCUCCACUAUUCAGUCCUGUGAGCUGACAGCCCCUGGAGUUAUAUGCCAGGUUCAAACCUCCACUAUUCAGUCCUAUGCUGACAAGCCCCUGGAGUUAA